GUUGGCAUACAUUCCGAAAUACUUUUGACAUUCGACAUCAUUGCCGGCGAAAUAUUGCCAAGGUUGGAAUGUUUUCCCAUGGUCAACGGAUCGUUCGAUGGCCCAAACUCCUGGUCGAGCUGCGUAAGGAAGCGCAUUUCUACGAUUCGAAACGGGCCAAAAACCUCUAAACAACCUAUCAAAUGAACACCAGUCUUCCUUGAUUGUAAAUUAUACACUGAUCCACUUUCAUUGGCGAAAAACCUGUCUGAAACGUACUAAAAAUCACCUAUCGAAAACACUCAUUCGGACAAUGUGAUGACUGGUUUUGAACAUCCCAACCCAAUCCCUCCUCCUAUCACCGAUAAAAAUAGGCGUUAUUUCACU